rnacentral:rRNA from 1 species
UACGGAGGGGGCUAGCGUUGUUCGGAAUUACUGGGCGUAAAGCGCACGUAGGCGGCUAUCCAAGUUGGGGGUGAAAUCCCUGGGCUUAACCCAGGAACUGCCUUCAAAACUGGAUGGCUAGAGUCCGAGAGAGGUGAGUGGAAUUUCCAGUGUAGAGGUGAAAUUCGUAGAUAUUGGAAAGAACACCAGUGGCGAAGGCGGCUCACUGGCUCGGUACUGACGCUGAGGUGCGACAGCGUGGGGAGCAAACAGGAUUAGAUACCCUGGUAGUCCACGCCGUAAACGAUGGGUGCUAGUUGUCAGCAGGCUUGCCUGUUGGUGACGCAGCUAACGCAUUAAGCACCCCGCCUGGGGAGUACGGUCGCAAGAUUAAA